ACCAGCUUGCAAGAUGGCCUCAAUGAUCCUGUGUGUAUUCACACCCAGAUGUAGUCCCCCUCGCGCUGCGUCAGGGCUGGUGUGUAGAACACUGGAGCUGACAGUAUGUGAGCUGUGUGGCUUCCUAGGCUAGGCCAUAAGGGAUUGCCCCUGCCUCCCCGGAAGGUCCCUCUCGGGGAAGGCAGCCAGCGCAUCAGGAGGACACACAGCAGCCAUGUGGAGAGGCUGGGUGAUGAGAGCUGAGUCUCCCACUGAAUGCCAGCACCACUCAAGAGCCAAACAGCAGCAGUUUGCCGUGAGCUAGUCCAUUGUGAGGAGCAGUGCCAAGGACCUUGUGUGCAAGUGAGCAACCACCAUCCGCCUGGCACAGCCAGGAGGCUCACAGUGACAAAGAACUGAUGUGUGCACCUUCUCAAACCAACCCAGGACACCUGGACACCUCCCAGAUCACAUCAGGAACCCCAGGCAAGGAGCUCACAGCCUCACCAGAUGACACCCCCUCACCUCAGACCCAUAAAAGGAGGAGCCCCCCCCAAGACUGGACACUCUAGCAUGCUGACCCAGUCACCUGGCCACUUCUUGAUACUUGCCCAGGAAAAUCAUAGCAAUAAACCUCUGCCCCCAGCUUCAGCUCAGCAUGAUUUCCCUGCCUGCGACCAUGAUGCCCAGCCCACUCCAGGCUCACAUCUCAAGCUGACGCUCUGAAAUUGCCGUCCAUCCUGACCCUAGGAUCAGUUCUGUACUCUGACACCCUGCACCCUGGAUUGCUCGCUUAUCUGGCCACCAGCCUCAACUUGCCUUCAUACCUAUCUGCUCCCGGCCUCUGCUUUCAUCUCAGCCUCCUGAGCCCCAGUGGCUGCCUACGCCCUCCCUUAGUCAUCCUGUGACCCACACUAUUCAGUGAAUUGCAGCCGCUGAGAGUGGUGCAGCUUAUAAAGUUAUGGUUAUUCAGUAAACUCUGACAUUGUGGAAAGACA